UAGGUAGUUUCAUGUUGUUGGGCUUUAAAUUUUAAACACAAGAACAUCAAACUACCUGAU
rnacentral:pre_miRNA from 1 species